UACGUAGGCAGCGAGCGUUGUUCGGAGUUACUGGGCGUAAAGAGUGCGUAGGCGGCGUUCCAAGUUUGGUGUGAAAUCUCCCGGCUUAACUGGGAGGGUGCGCCGAAAACUGGGAUGCUAGAGUGCGGGAGAGGUAAGCGGAAUUCCUGGUGUAGCGGUGAAAUGCGUAGAUAUCAGGAGGAACACCGGCGGUGUAGACGGCUUACUGGACCGUGACUGACGCUGGAGGCACGAAAGCGUGGGUAGCAAACAGG
rnacentral:rRNA from 1 species